rnacentral:rRNA from 1 species
UACAGAGGUCUCAAGCGUUGUUCGGAUUCAUUGGGCGUAAAGGGUGCGUAGGUGGCGGGGUAAGUCAGGUGUGAAAUCUCGGGGCUCAACCCCGAAACUGUACUUGAUACUGCCUUGCUCGAGUACUGGAGAGGAGAUUGGAAUUUACGGUGUAGCAGUGAAAUGCGUAGAUAUCGUAAGGAAGACCAGUGGCGAAGGCGAAUCUCUGGACAGUUACUGACACUGAGGCACGAAGGCCAGGGGAGCAAACGGG